AAUUUUUUCCUCGAGUCGUUGAUUUCACACUGCCAAGAAAAGCCUCUAGCUAGAAUUUUGGUGCCCGUACCGCAAACCGACACAGGUAGUCAAGAUGAGAAUUCUAAGGUGAGCGAGCGAACUCUCGUUAAGGAACUCGGCAAAAUGACCCCGUAACUUCGGGAGAAGGGGUGCUCUUUAGGGUUAACGCCCAGGAGAGCCGCAGUGAAUAGGCCCAAGCGACUGUUUAUCAAAAACACAGGUCUCUGCUAAACCGUAAGGUGAUGUAUAGGGGCUGACGCCUGCCCGGUGCUGGAAGGUUAAGAGGAGUGGUUAGCUUCGGCGAAGCUACGAAUCGAAGCCCCAGUAAACGGCGGCCGUAACUAUAACGGUCCUAAGGUAGCGAAAUUCCUUGUCGGGUAAGUUCCGACCCGCACGAAAGGCGUAACGAUUUGGGCACUGUCUCAACGAGAGACUCGGUGAAAUCAUAGUACCUGUGAAGAUGCAGGUUACCCGCGACAGGACGGAAAGACCCCGUGGAGCUUUACUGUAGUCUGAUAUUGAAAUUCGUCACAGCUUGUACAGGAUAGGUAGGAGCCUUUGAUACGUGAGCGCUAGCUUACGUGGAGGCGUUGUUGGGAUACUACCCUCGCUGUGUUGGAUUUCUAACCCGCACCAUUUAUCAUGGUGGGAGACAGUGUCAGAUGGGCAGUUUGACUGGGGCGGUCGCCUCCUAAAGAGUAACGGAGGCGCUCAAAGGUUUCCUCAGAAUGGUUGGAAAUCAUUCAUAGAGUGUAAAGGCAUAAGGAAGCUUGACUGCGAGACUUACAAGUCGAGCAGGGUCGAAAGACGGACUUAGUGAUCCGGUGGUUCCGCAUGGAAGGGCCAUCGCUCAACGGAUAAAAGCUACCCCGGGGAUAACAGGCUUAUCUCC
rnacentral:rRNA from 1 species